rnacentral:siRNA from 1 species
GUUACGGUGACUUCGAAUCAGGCA